UACGUAGGUGGCAAGCGUUGUCCGGAUUUACUGGGCGUAAAGAGCGCGCAGGCGGUCGUUUAAGUCGAAUGUGAAAGCCCCCGGCUCAACUGGGGAGGGUCAGUCGAUACUGUUCGACUCGAAGGCAGGAGAGGGAAGUGGAAUUCCGGGUGUAGUGGUGAAAUGCGUAGAUAUCCGGAGGAACACCAGUGGCGAAGGCGACUUUCUGGCCUGUUCGUGACGCUGAGGCGCGAAAGCUAGGGGAGCAAACGGG
rnacentral:rRNA from 1 species